rnacentral:SRP_RNA from 1 species
GCUGGGCGCGGUGGUACGUGCCUGUAGUCCCAGCUACUCGGGAGGCUGAGGCUGGAGGAUCGCUUGAGUCCAGCAAUUCUGGGCUGUAGUGUGCUAUGCUGGUCAGGUGUCUGCACUAAGUUUGGCAUCAGUAUGUUGACCUCUCAGGAGUGGGGGACCACCAGGUUGCCUAAGGAGGAGGUAAACCGGCCCAGGUUGAAAGUGGAGCAGGUCAAAACUCCUGUGCUGAUCAGUAGUGGGAUCGCACCUGUGAAUAGCCACUGUCCUCCAGCCUGGGCAACAUAGUGAGACCCUGUCUCA